rnacentral:rRNA from 1 species
AUUGAACGCUGGCGGCAUGCCUAACACAUGCAAGUCGAACGAGUCGCGGACGGGUGAGUACUGUCUGGGAAACUGCCUGAUGGAGGGGGAUACCUACUGGUAACGGUAGCUAAUACCGCCUACCAUCAGCUGUGCCCAGAUGGGAUUAGCUUGUGGGUGGGGUAACGGCUGACCAAGGCGACGAUCCCUAUCUGGUCUGAGAGGAUGACCAGCCACAAGGGGACGGAGAGACGGUCCAGACUCCUACGGGAGGCAGCAGUGGGGAAUAUUGGACAAUGGGCGCAAGCCUGAUGCAGCCAGGCCGAGUGUGUGAUGAAGGCCUUCGGGUUGUAAAGUACUUUCGGCAGGGAGGCGUUACCCGAAGAAGAAGCACCGGCUAACUCCGUGCCAGCAGCCGCGGUAAUAC